rnacentral:rRNA from 2 species
CAUUCACGGAGAGUUUGAUCCUGGCUCAGGACGAACGCUGGCGGCGUGCUUAACACAUGCAAGUCGAACGAUGAAGCCCUUCGGGGUGGAUUAGUGGCGAACGGGUGAGUAACACGUGGGCAAUCUGCCCUUCACUCUGGGACAAGCCCUGGAAACGGGGUCUAAUACCGGAUA